GCCUUCCUUUAGUUUACACAGUGCUGAUUCCUUCUGCUGCUGGAUCUCUGUUGAUUUUUUCAGUCGUGAUCUGCUGCAUUUGCAGGAAAUGUAAAAAAACAGCCCAGACCCAAGAGGAAGACAGAACUGAUUCAGCAUUGUGUAAACCAGCAAAAGGAAAAACGAAAUCAAAGACUGACGCUGUGUAUGAAAAUGUCCCCAAAAAGCGGUGAUCAAAAAGACUGUAUCUACUGGAUUUGUGCUGUUAGAGCUCAUACUGGACAAUACCUCACCUUUUCAUUCACAUUCAUUAUCUUCUAGGAUGUCACUGUUUUGUCUGUAUCAUAUCAUUUGGCGUUACUGUAAUUUCUAAAAUGUUAUUUGAAUUAAAUUAGUGAUU